CAGCAGCCGCGGUAAUACCGAGGGUGCGAGCGUUAAUCGGAUUUACUGGGCGUAAAGCGUGCGUAGGCGGCUUUUUAAGUCGGAUGUGAAAUCCCUGAGCUUAACUUAGGAAUUGCAUUCGAUACUGGGAAGCUAGAGUAUGGGAGAGGAUGGUAGAAUUCCAGGUGUAGCGGUGAAAUGCGUAGAGAUCUGGAGGAAUACCGAUGGCGAAGGCAGCCAUCUGGCCUAAUACUGACGCUGAGGUACGAAAGCAUGGGGAGCAAACAGGAUUAGAUACCCGAGUAGUCCCUGUCUCUUAUAC
rnacentral:rRNA from 1 species